AAUCGCCAAAACACAAGCGCCGCGUCGGGUGAGACCUCUAGCGGAUACUCUGUUGCCAACAAGGCUUAGCUCAGUGUUUUAUCGUGCCCCGGCGUUGUAGAUGUUCGUCGUUAAUUUGCGACCCUUCUUGCGGUACGCUACUUCGUCUUUGGUCAAUAUCCUUGUCGGGAACAUCAUCGUGAAACCUCUUCCGAGAAGGCACUGAAGUCUGCGGCGUCCAGCCGUUGCCACUUCCUGCGGCAAAGUCAAUCUCGAUGGCGUCGACCAACUUCUGCCGUUGUAUAGCCUUCAGGUGACUUGAGCUGAUCUGCUUACGGUAUCCAUGGGUGAACCUUCAAGCACCAUUGAGAAUUUGGUGUUGGCCUGUGACGUUCCACUUGCGUCUUGUGUGGCACCGUGAAACUAGCCUGGACAGGAUUCUGGCGAGUUGGAAGUUGGCCGAUCCCUUACUU
rnacentral:lncRNA from 1 species